rnacentral:lncRNA from 1 species
UAAACGAAGUAACAGUGUGUGGGAUAAACAAAAUUAUGGGUACAGUAUAACAGUAAAAAAAAGAAAAGUGAUCAAAGAGGCAUACAAAGGGAAAACUGGAGCAAAAAAUACACUAAUAUAAAAAUAGUGAAAGAUAAACGAAGUAACAGUGUCUAGGAUAAACAAAAUUAUGGGUACAGUAUAACAGCAAAAAAAAAAAUAUAUAAGUAAUGGUGAUACAGGUA